AUUGAACGCUGGCGGAAUGCUUUACACAUGCAAGUCGAACGGCAGCACGGACUUCGGUCUGGUGGCGAGUGGCGAACGGGUGAGUCAUAUAUCUGAACGUGCCCAGUCGUGGGGGACAACGUAGUGAAAAUUACGCUAAUACCGCAUACGAACUAUGGAUGAAAGCGGGGGAUCGCAAGACCUCGCGCGAUUAGAGCGGCCGAUGCCUGAUUAGCUUGUUGGUGGAGUAAAAGCCCACCAAGGCGACGAUCAGAAGCUGGUCUGAGAGGACGAUCAGCCACACUGGGACUGAGACACGGCCCAGACUCAUACGGGAGGCAGCAGUUGGGAAUUUUGGACAAUGGGGGCAACCCUGAUCCAGCAAUGCCGCGUGAGUGAAGAAGGCCUUCGGGUUGUAAAGCUCUUUUGUCAGGGAAGAAACACCGGCUCUAACAAAGUCCGGGAAAGACGGUACCUGAAGAAUAAGCACCGGCUAACUACGUGCCAGCCGCCGCAGUAA
rnacentral:rRNA from 1 species